UACGUAGGGGGCUAGCGUUGUCCGGAAUCAUUGGGCGUAAAGCGCGUGUAGGCGGUUCGGAAAGUCCGCUGUGAAAGUCGGGGGCUCAACCCUCGAAAGCCGGUGGAUACUGUCGGGCUAGAGUACGGAAGAGGCGAGUGGAAUUCCUGGUGUAGCGGUGAAAUGCGCAGAUAUCAGGAGGAACACCAAUUGCGAAGGCAGCUCGCUGGGACGUUACUGACGCUGAGACGCGAAAGCGUGGGGAGCAAACAGG
rnacentral:rRNA from 1 species